rnacentral:rRNA from 1 species
GAACGGCAGCACGGGGGCAACCCUGGUGGCGAGUGGCGAACGGGUGAGUAAUACAUCGGAACGUGUCCUGUAGUGGGGGAUAGCCCGGCGAAAGCCGGAUUAAUACCGCAUACGAUCUACGGAUGAAAGCGGGGGACCUUCGGGCCUCGCGCUAUAGGGGCGGCCGAUGGCGGAUUAGCUAGUUGGUGGGGUAAAGGCCUACCAAGGCGACGAUCCGUAGCUGGUCUGAGAGGACGAUCAGCCACACUGGGACUGAGACACGGCCCAGACUCCUACGGGAGGCAGCAGUGGGGAAUUUUGGACAAUGGGGGAAACCCUGAUCCAGCAAUGCCGCGUGUGUGAAGAAGGCCUUCGGGUUGUAAAGCACUUUUGUCCGGAAAGAAAACGUUCUAGCUAAUAUCUGGAGCGGAUGACGGUACCGGAAGAAUAAGCACCGGCUAACUACGUG